rnacentral:snRNA from 8 species
AUACUUACCUGGCAAGGGAGAUACCGUGAUCAAGAAGGCGGUUCACCCAGGGCGAGGCUCAGCCAUUGCACUCCGGCUGUGCUGACCCCUGCGAAUUUCCCAAAUGUGGAAAUCUCGAUUGCCUAAUUUAUGG